CCUUCUUCAUCUUGGUAAGACUACCCGCUGAACUUAAGCAUAUCAAUAAGCGGAGGAAAAGAAACCAACAGGGAUUGCCUCAGUAACGGCGAGUGAAGCGGCAAAAGCUCAAAUUUGAAAUCCUCCGGGAAUUGUAAUUUGAAGGUGGUCUCAGUUAGUUCAAACAUUCUUAAGUCCAUUGGAAAAUGGCGCCAUGGAGGGUGAUAGCCCCGUAAAGAAUCCGUUUUGUUCUAUUUUCUUUGACCACCAAAGAGUCGAGUUGUUUGGGAAUGCAGCUUUAAGUGGGUGGUAAAUUCCAUCUAAAGCUAAAUAUUGGCGAGAGACCGAUAGCGAACAAGUACAGUGAUGGAAAGAUGAAAAGCACUUUGAAAAGAGAGUGAAAAAGUACGUGAAAUUGUUGAAAGGGAAGGGCUUGCAAGCAGACACAACCUUUUGGUUGGGCCAGCAUCGGGGCGAGGGGAAGGAAAAAAGAAAAGGAAAUGUAA
rnacentral:rRNA from 1 species